AUGUAUGUAUGUAGGGUAUGUAUGUAUGUAGCACAUGUAUGUAUGUAUGUAUGUAUGUAUGUAUGUAUGUAUGUAGCACAUGUAUGUAUGUAGCGUAUGUAUGUAUCACAUGUAUGUAUGUAUGUAUGUAUGUAUGUAUGUAUGUAUGUAGCACAUGUAUGUAUGUAUGUAUGUAUGUAUGUAUGUAGCACAUGUAUGUAUGUAUGUAUGUAUGUAUGUAUGUAUGUAUGUAUGUAGCACAUGUAUGUAUGUAUGUAUGUAUGUAUGUAUGUAUGUAGCACAUGUAUGUAUGUAUGUAGCACAUGUAUGUAUGUAUGUAUGUAUGUAUGUAUGUAGCACAUGUAUGUAUGUAUGUAUGUAUCGUAUGUAUGUAUGUAUGUAUGUAUGUAUGUAUGUAUGUAUG
ensembl:lncRNA